rnacentral:rRNA from 1 species
GUCGGAAUUGCUGUAAUCGCAGAUCAGCAUGCUGCGGUGAAUACGUUCCCGGGCCUUGUACACACCGCCCGUCACACCAUGGGAGUCGGUAACACCCGGAGUCGGUAGCCUAACCGUAAGGAGGGCGCCGCCGAAGGUGGGAUUGAUGACUGGGGUGAAGUCGUAACAAGGUACC